UACGUAGGUGGCAAGCGUUAUCCGGAAUUAUUGGGCGUAAAGAGCGCGCAGGUGGUUGAUUAAGUCUGAUGUGAAAGCCCACGGCUUAACCGUGGAGGGUCAUUGGAAACUGGUCGACUUGAGUGCAGAAGAGGGAAGUGGAAUUCCAUGUGUAUCGGUGAAAUGCGUAGAGAUAUGGUGGAACACCAGUGGCGAAGGCGGCUUCCUGGUCUGUAACUGACACUGAGGCGCGAAAGCGUGGGGAGCAAACAGGAUUAGAUA
rnacentral:rRNA from 1 species